rnacentral:rRNA from 1 species
UACGUAGGUGGCAAGCGUUGUCCGGAUUUACUGGGCGUAAAGAGCGCGCAGGCGGUCGUUCAAGUCGCGUGUGAAAGCCCCUGGCUCAACCAGGGAGGGUCAUUCGAUACUGUUCGACUCGAAGGCAGGAGAGGGAAGUGGAAUUCCGGGUGUAGUGGUGAAAUGCGUAGAUAUCCAGAGGAACACCAGUGGCGAAGGCGACUUUCUGGCCUGUUCUUGACGCUGAGGCGCGAAAGCUAGGGGAGCAAACGGG